GGCUAGGGUCCAAUCGGCAGCUGGAUCCGAAAUCCAAGCUCCCAGUAAAGCGGCGCCGAGGGGCUACUGUGAACAGCUGGGGGCGCUCGCUUCCAGGUUGGGGCUGAGUUUGGGUGAGACCACGGGAAACAGAUUAAGGCAGCAGUAAGGGUGGUGGGCGAGGUAGGAGUUGCAAAGGAUGCAUCCAAAGUUGGAUGGUGCACAGGACGCCGUUUCAAGAGACGCGCCGGAGGCGGAGAGGGGUAAACGUGACGGGACAGGGGGUGCUUACUGUCGAGUAACCGUCCAUGUAGAGUCGGGAGCCCUCAGCCUUGGCUCCUGCUGCUUUGCGGAGGCUGGUCUUUCCGAGUGCUUGGUGUUGCUGUUCCUCCUCACCCAACGUCUUUCUUUUCGCGAGCCUGUGGUCAGAAACUGGAAGAAGGCAUCCUGAUGGGAAAGGGUCAAGAGCAGGAAGUGCGAGGCCCAUCCUGUAGGCCUUAGAUCAAAGGCCUGCCAUCCAGGGUGAGCAUUCUGAAAUAGAGUCCCUGCGGUCAUCAGGGUGAAGCUAGUUUAUCUUUAGGACCUGACCCUGCAAGACUUUACGCUCCCAGGGUAGUUCUGCAAAACUCAACUUUCCUCCUUGUCCGAAUUUGUUUUGUGUUGGGAUGGGUGGAUGUUAUUCCUGGAGCAUCUGUCCCCUUCGUGUGACGUUUGCUCGCCUGCCGUGAAUUCCGUACUCCUUCAGGCUGCAGUGGUCCAGUGUGAGCAGGCUGCUGGCUGCGGGCUGCCCAGGACUCCCGGCGGGAGCGAAAUGUGCAAUGCGCCCCAGCCCAGGCCAGAUCUGGGGCAGGUAUCUUGGCUUCCAGCUCAGGAGUGCUCUGCAGUGACUGCUCCUGCAGCCAGUAAUGACUUUUAACUGCAAGCAUCUUCCUUCCUGAAUCCAGACACCAUUUAAUCUCUGUGUGCUCAUACUCAUUAAAUAAUUUCAAUGGAGAGUAGCAGGAGGAAAUUAAAAGAGAAAAAAAAAAUCCUCAGUUUAAAAAUACCUUUAAAUAUGCAACUUUAUAAAGUUUCUGAAGUAGGUUCAGACAUCAGCAAAGCAGCUCCAAUCCCAACUCUCCAACGGAAGUUUAAUGAACAGAAGCAAGUCCAGGAUUUGUGGCGAUUGUGUUACAUUUAAUAAUUUUUAAAACUCCCACAUUUAAACAUUGGCAAUCAAGCUAAUCCGGUAAACUUAAGCAUAUUCUUAAUAACCACAGGUUGGAGUCCACAAACGAACAGCAUAAUUAAAGCAUGAAGAUACAGCAUGCUCCCAUGAGAACAGGGGACAGCAGAGAGGGCCACAGGGCUGCCAGCCUGCAGAUUCUUCUGUAGCUGUCCGAUUUUUACGGUGUAAUUUUCAAAGCACGGUGACACCUUGAAGGACUUACAUAGCCAGAUCCUCACCAUGAGCAUCUCAAAAGCAUAAUUUCUCAGUAGGAGUCACUGUUCCCCGAAAAUGCCAAUUCAGAUUAAUAGUGUCGGAACAAGCAAGCCAUUGACAAAUUUGUGAUUUGAAAACAAAUUUGAGAAGUGACACCUGUGAACCUUCUAAGCUGGACCAUGAUUUUGUUUGCAUGUAGUCAAGGCAGGAAACUAGUGAUCCCCUGUUAGCUACUGUGAUAGCCUGGCGGACAAAUCUUCAGCAGCUUGUGGCCAUCUGACAUGACAGACGCAAGCAGUUCCUUCUGUUAUUUUUCAUUGCAUCCUGUGCACACCUUGAGGACAACUAUGUAUACUUGCUGAUGUGAUUGGUUGCAUGUGUGUUCCUUCCAAGCUUAAAAAACCCUCCCCAUUGGGCACUGUUUGCUCUCUGUAAGAUCCAGCAUGGGGUCUAGUAACACUUCUCUGGGUUGUUUUUAAAGAGUAUAAAAUUAACUUUAAAGAAUCUGUCUUAAAGUACAGUAGUGGCUUUCAAACGGGCAAACAAGUGCAAAAAAACAAAGCCAUCAAGGAGCCCAAACACAGGUCGUCAAUCAGUGCCACACAAACACAGUAAGAGGACUGGCAAGAAGUGGAAAGGCACUCAAUAAAUAAUUCUGGGAAAACUAAAUUCACAACCAAAAGAAGAAAAUCUGACCCUUGUCUUAAUACCACACAAAGUUGGAUGACAGUGGAUAGAAGACUUAAGAUGAGGCCAGCAGCCCCAAGAAGCAGGCUUCUCGACAUUGGCCAAUGAUAUAUGGCCAGCAAUUUUUUUUCUAGGUAUUAUAUUGAAAGCUUGAGUUUCAAAAGCAAAGACCAAUAAAUGGAAUAACAUCAAAAUGGAAAGCUUCUACACAACAAUAGAAGCAUCAACAGAAGGAAAGGACAACAUAUGAACAGGGGGAAUUAUUUCUAAACCACCAAUAUUGAAUGUGUGUUAUUAUCCAAGUUAUGAAGAGCCUUUAUAAUUUAAUAGCAGAUAAGAGAAUGACACAAUUUUAAAAAUGGGCAAAGGACCCAAGCACACAUUUCUCCAAGGAAAACAGCUCAGAAGGUGGGCUGGAAAAAUACUGCACAGCCAAGAAUGCAUUCUAAUCUUCCAGAGGACCCGAACUGGAUUCCCAGCACCCACGGUGGAAAACAGAAAAUCAGCAUGCAAGUCCAAGCGGAGAUCACAACAGUAGGAAUGAGUCUGGGGACAAACAGCAAUGGAAUGAAGACACCAACAUUGUGCUGACUUGGGCUUGGAGCCUAGCCUAUGAAAAGAGGUGAAAAAACUGAAGCACAGAAAGUUAACCACUAACUCAAGCUCAAACUCCAGGCAUUAGGUUUGUGCUUAAGUUUAGCACUUGGGGGCUUUCGUAGGAAUGAAGGAAAACAUCACCAGCAUUCCGUCCUCAGAACUUCAUUGUCAAAGAUGAAAUGUAUUAUAGUAAAUAUUAAAUUUAUGUUAACAUACUAAAGUAUUAUUUAAAAUAAAAUAAUGUUAAAUUUUUCUAAAAGAGUGAUGGGACCAAGUGUGAUGAUACAUUGAUACAUGAGGAUGAAGUGUGGUGUUGUGCUCACGGAAGCGGACCAUGUCACAAGACAGGAAGAGGGAGAAUCCUACUGAGGGAGGUGUCCAGUCUUUGGGCAGCAAAAUGAAAAGGCCAAGUUGAGACAUCAAUGAGGAAAUUCUUCAUGAGCAAAGCUUCGCUUUCCAACACUCCAGUUAAUGCAGUUAUAGCCAUGCCUGUCCCCGUGUUGUGGAGAACCACAGUAUUGCCACAGUUCUUCCACAGCGGGACAUUCUGCUCUGACACAGCCAUGCCUCCACACACUCAGUCACUGGAUUGCCACUGAAGAGAUCUACAGUGGGCACUCAGUCCCAUGUUCUUGUCUUCUACUGUGUGGUGCUCUGCCGCCAGAAAGCAUUCAGCUCUCAGGACCUUUAGAACUGCCUCAAUUGAUGACCCUCACUUCAAGGUCCUGCAUUUUCCAGGACUGAUCAAUCUGAUGGCCAGACAAUACUGCAGUCUAAAGAGAGCCUACUGCUACAGGGCCACCAGUAUCAGAGCUUCUCCUGGAUCAACUGCUCAAACUCUUUCUUGCCCAAUGUCUCCAUAUGCCAACAGAAACUUUUCCCCCUUCCGUAGUUGUUAAUCUCUGAGUUCAUGAACCAGUGUAUUAACUGUUUUUUGACACUCUGACCUGUUGGGACAACUAAGUAAGGAAACAAUUUAUUUAAGAUCAAUGGUUCCAGAGCAGCAGGUCUGUAGUUACUUGGCUUAUGCAGAACACCACAGUGGCAUGAGUAUGUGACAAGGCAGGUUCUUAACUUUUAGAAGAUGGGAAUAGAAGAAAAUAGGGGUACAGAAAAGAGGCAGGGUAAAAUAUAGCCCCCAAGGACAUGCCCUCAGUGGCAUAUUUUCCCCUCAUAGGCUUAUCUGCUACCUUUUGCCACCCCAAGAAUGCCACUGAACUAUGAAUCCAUCAAGGGACUCAUAUACUCACUCAUUCAGCAAGAGCUCUCGUGAUCUAAAUAUCUCUAGAAACAUCUUUACAGACAGACCUACAGGUGUGUGUUACUUAUCCUGACAUCAAGAUGACAAUCAAAAUUCAAACUGAAGCAACACAUACAUGAAAGCUGGUGGUAACAAGCACCUCUCCUACAGUGCCAUGUAGUACAUAUAUAUUGAUUUGCCUGAGAUUCCGAGUUCCAGUAAUCUUAACAUUGGCAAAUGAAUAUUCUUUCCCAGUUACACAGGCUGGGUAAGCUUGGGCUAUGUAGAAAUGGCAUCAGGCAGGUUCAGGUGUGGAUAAAAUUUUGAUAAAAAGUAUUAAUGGGGUGAGGUAUCCCAGAAGCAGAAAGACACACAUAGUAUAUACUCACUUAUAAGUGGAUAUUAGACAUAUAACAUAGGAUAAACACACUAAAAUCUGUACACCUUAAGAAGCUAAGCAAAAAGGAGGACUCUGGGAAAAGAUGAUCAAUCCUCAAUCAAAAAGGCAAAUGGGAUAGACUUUGGAAGAGAAAGAAAACAGGGAACAGGACAGGAGCCUACCAUAGAGGAUAUCUGAAAGACUCUACCCAGCAGGGUACUGAAGCAGAUGCUGAGACACAUUGCCAAAUGUUGGUCAGAGUGCAGGAAAUCUUAUGAAAGAAGGGGGAGAUAUUAAGACCUGGAGAAGAAAGGAGCUCCACAAGAAGAGCAACAGAACCAAAAAAUCUGGGCACAGCGGUCUUUUAUGAGACUGAUACCUCAUCCAAGGACCAUUCAUGGAGAUAACCUAGAACCCCUGCACAGAUGUAGCCCAUAGCAGUUCAGUGUCCAAGUGGGUUCCAUAGUAAUGGGAGCAGGGGCUGUCUCUGACAUGAACUCAGUGGUUGACUCUUUCAUCAUCUCCCCACUGAGGGAGGAGCAGCCUUACCAGGCCACAGAUGAAGACAAUGCAGCCAGUCCUGAUGAGACCUUAUAGGCUAGGGUCAGAUGGAAGGGGAGGUGGACCUCCCCUAUCCGUGUGGUGGGGGAGGGUCAUGGGAGGAGAAGAGAGAGGGCAGGUGGGAUUGGGAGAGGACAAGGGAGGGGGCUACAGCUGUGAUACAAAGUGAAUAAAUUGUAAUACAUAAA